GCCGGGUUAGCUCAGUGGUAGAGCAGCUGAUUUGUAAUCAGCAGGUCAGCGGUUCAAAUCCGCUACCCGGCUCCA
rnacentral:tRNA from 1 species